AUUGAACGCUGGCGGCAUGCCUUACACAUGCAAGUCGAACGGUAACGCGGGGCAACCUGGCGACGAGUGGCGAACGGGUGAGUAAUACAUCGGAACGUGCCCAGUAGUGGGGGAUAGCCCGGCGAAAGCCGGAUUAAUACCGCAUACGACCUACGGGUGAAAGCGGGGGAUCGCAAGACCUCGCGCUAUUGGAGCGGCCGAUGUCAGAUUAGGUAGUUGGUGGGGGUAAAAGCCUACCAAGCCUACGAUCUGUAGCUGGUCUGAGAGGACGACCAGCCACACUGGGACUGAGACACGGCCCAGACUCCUACGGAGGCAGCAGUGGGGAAUUUUGGACAAUGGGCGCAAGCCUGAUCCAGCCAUGCCGCGUGCGGG
rnacentral:rRNA from 1 species